rnacentral:rRNA from 1 species
GAUACCCGCUGAACUUAAGCAUAUCAAUAAGCGGAGGAAAAGAAACCAACAGGGAUUGCCCCAGUAACGGCGAGUGAAGCGGCAAAAGCUCAAAUUUGAAAUCUGGCACUGUCGGUGUCCGAGUUGUAAUUUGGAGAGGCAUCUUCCGGAGGGGCCCAGCCUAUGUUCCUUGGAACAGGACGUCAUAGAGGGUGAGAAUCCCGUUCAUGGCUGGAUGUAUCCUUCAGUAGGCAGUGCUUUCUACGAGUCGAGUUGUUUGGGAAUGCAGCUCAAAAUGGGUGGUAAAUUUCAUCUAAAGCUAAAUAUUGGCGAGAGACCGAUAGCGCACAAGUAGAGUGAUCGAAAGAUGAAAAGCACUUUGAAAAUAGAGUCAAACAGUACGUGAAAUUGUUGAAAGGGAAGCGCUUGAGACCAGACUCAGCCUUUGGCAAACAACUAUCCUUCUGGGUGGUGCACUUGUCCUUGGCUGGGCCAGCAUCAGUUAGGACGGUGGAAUAAAGGCUUGGGGAAUGUGACUCCACUUAGGAGUGUUAUAGCCCUGAAUGUCAGUCCCGCCUGUCCUGACUGUGGACCGCGCUUUGGCUAGGAUGCUGGCAUAAUGGUCUUUAGCGGCCCGUCUUGAAACACGGACCAAGGAGUCUAACAUCUAUGC